CGGACGAACGCCUGGCGGCGUGCUUAACACAUGCAAGUCGAGCGGUAAGGCUCCUUCGGGAGUACACGAGCGGCGAACGGGUGAGUAACACGUGAGUAACCUGCCCCAAUCAUCGGGAUAACCAUUGGAAACGAUGGCUAAUACCGAAUACGACCACCGAAGGCAUCUUCUGGUGGUGGAAAGCUCCGGCGGAUUGGGAUGGACUCGCGGCCUAUCAGCUUGUUGGUGAGGUAAUGGCUCGACCAAGGCAACGACGGGUAGCCGGCCUGAGAGGGUGACCGGCCACAACUGGGACUGAGACACGGCCCAGACUCCUACGGGAGGCAGCAGUGGGGAAUAUUGGACAAUGGGCGCAAGCCUGAUCCAGCAACGCCGCGUGAGGGAUGACGGCCUUCGGGUUGUAAAACCUCUUUCAGUAGGGACGAAGCGAAAGUGACGGUACCUACAGAAGAAGGACCGGCCAACUACGUG
rnacentral:rRNA from 1 species